UCAAGGAAGGUUAUUGUGAAUUAUCCUGUGU
rnacentral:piRNA from 1 species